UACGGAGGGUGCAAGCGUUGUCCGGAUUUAUUGGGUUUAAAGGGUGCGUAGGCGGCCCGUUAAGUCAGCGGUGAAAUCCCGGGGCUCAACCCCGGAACUGCCGUUGAUACUGGCGGGCUUGAGUUCGGUCGAGGCGGGCGGAACUGGUGGUGUAGCGGUGAAAUGCUUAGAUACCACCAAGAACCCCGAUUGCGUAGGCAGCUCGCUUGGCCGAAACUGACGCUGAGGCACGAAAGCGUGGGGAGCGAACAGG
rnacentral:rRNA from 1 species